rnacentral:tRNA from 1 species
GACUUGAGAUCCUAAAUCUCAAGCCUAGUGGACAUGGCAUCUGCCCGGUAAGCGGAACACUGUGGGUUAGAUUCCCAUCCCAGGACA